UUUCAGCUGCGAGCUUGCUGGAGUCACCUGCCUGUCGCUCCUUCACAGCCUCCUCAUCCUUCAGCUUGAAGGCUUUCUCUGCUCGGGCAUAUCCUUCGGCCCGAGCCAGCAAGUCAGCGAAGUCCUUGGGAUACUUCUUUUUCAGAGAAAACAAAAGAUCAUUCUUUUGGAGACCACUCUUCAGGGCGGCCAUUGCAACUGAUUGGUCC
rnacentral:lncRNA from 1 species